GAAAUGCGAUAAGUAAUGUGAAUUGCAGAAUUCAGUGAAUCAUCGAAUCUUUGAACGCACCUUGCGCUCCUUGGUAUUCCUUGGAGCAUGCCUGUUUGAGUAUCAUGAAAUCUUCAAAGUAAAUCUUUUGUUAACUCAAUUGGUUUCUACUUUGGUAUUGGAGGUCUUUGCAGCUUCACACCUGCUCCUCUUUGUUCAUUAGCUGGAUUUCAGUGUUAUGCUUGGUUCCACUCGGCGUGAUAAGUUAUCUAUCGCUGAGGACACUGUAAAAGGUGGCCAAGGUAAAUGCAGAUGAACCGCUUCUAAUAGUCCAUUGACUUGGACAAUACUUUUAUGAUCUGAUCUCAAAUCAGGUAUGACUACCCGCUGAACUUAAGC
rnacentral:misc_RNA from 1 species